ensembl:piRNA 21ur-11240 ncRNA
UAAUUUUACGAAACGGUGUGA